rnacentral:rRNA from 1 species
AGUGAACGCUGGCGGUAGGCCUAACACAUGCAAGUCGAACGGCAGCACAGUAAGAGCUUGCUCUUACGGGUGGCGAGUGGCGGACGGGUGAGGAAUACAUCGGAAUCUACUUUUUCGUGGGGGAUAACGUAGGGAAACUUACGCUAAUACCGCAUACGACCUACGGGUGAAAGCAGGGGAUCUUCGGACCUUGCGCGAUUGAAUGAGCCGAUGUCGGAUUAGCUAGUUGGCGGGGUAAAGGCCCACCAAGGCGACGAUCCGUAGCUGGUCUGAGAGGAUGACCAGCACAACUGAACUUGAGAAAGGGCCCAGAUCCUACGGGAGGCAGCAGUGGGGAAUAUUGGACAAUGGGCGCAAGCCUGAUCCAGCCAUACCGCGUGGGUGAAGAAGGCCUUCGGGUUGUAAAGCCCUUUUGUUGGGAAAGAAAAGCAGCAGGUUAAUACCCCGCUGUUCUGACGGUACCCAAAGAAUAAGCACCGGCUAACUUCGUG